rnacentral:lncRNA from 1 species
CUGGGGGUGAGGUGGGGUGGAAGGAUAAAUAGCCACAUUACAUUUAAUUUGGGACAUUUAAUCUGCUGUCAGAUUUGACUCCAUGCUGAAGUUGGAGGAGACACAUUGUGUCAUGGCAGCCAGUCACAUUCAAUCUGCCGUCAGGACGCUGAGGCCAAUAGGAAGAGGGAACUGGAAAUGUCACCGGAUUGAAAACAUCCUCCUGUGGAGGUUCUACUCUGGCUUAGAAAACUCAUCCUUAUACUUCACAGCCCAGCCGUCAAGACGUUGGGGGUGGGAAUGCUUGGGUCUACCCAGUCCGGAAAUGCUGAUGGUGAACGGACGUACAGACACGGAUGGACAUGCACAAGCAUGCGCACCUCCUGGACGCUGCAGCUUCAACCCAAAGGCAACCUCCACCCUGUUCCAGCAUCUUGUAUCCUCCUGCAACGUGGUGUUUUUGUUUGUUUGUUUGUUUGUUUGUUUUUACUUUUGAUUUCUUACUGCAAAACAAUUGUCACCCAGCUGGUCAAACCCCGGGGUCACGUCUAUAACCCGGCUCUCCUUGCCAUCCCAUGAAUCAUCAAACGCCGCAGAUUUUCCUUCCUGUUAGUGUCCAAAAUCAUUUGCUGGUUUCCAUUUGCUUGGUUGAUACUUUGUUCUAGGUCCCUCUCAUUUUAGGUCUGAGAUGUUGCAGUUGCUGCCUGGCUGAGCUCCUGGUCUUCAGACGUGCUCCGUUCUAAAGGUGGAUUUGCCCUUUUACUGAACGAUCCUCAACUCCAGGCUACCUUGCUUGCAACCUACCCGUUGCAAAUGUUUGCACUUGAUUUUAUAUUUGCAGCUUUACAUUUUCAGUCUGCUCCAAAUCCUCUCCAUUUUGUAUUCAGUUGCCAGGGUAAUCUUCAAGAAAAAAAAAUGACUUUUUCUUUUGGGGGCAGUCUGAGUUUACAACAAAACAGAAAAGAAAAUACAGGCUUUCUGUGUCAGUCCUACCCUACUACCUCAUAAAACCUUCACACUCUUGGCUCUCAAUCCUGGAGGAGUACAUUUGUUAAACUAAUUGACCUAUAGUGAGCAAAGUGCCACUAUCAACAUAAGUUCUUCAUUAGAUAAAGAUGAAUUUGGGGGAUUAAAGUGGCAGGAGGUGUGAUCAAAGUACAUUAUAUUUGCAUGAAAAUUGCCUUAAAUCAUGUAAGUUAAAAGUAUUCUUAAAAUGCUAAUCCUUGAAAAAUGUAUUGCUGGCCUGGAGAGAUGGCUCAGUGGUUAAGAGCACUGAUUGCUCUUCCGAAGGUCCUGAGUUCAAAUCCCAGCAACCACAUGGAAAAAUGUAUUGCUCUAUCGUGUCACUUUCUACUUUAAAACUUGCAGUUGGUUAGUUGGGUGGAGAUGGCUCGUGUCUUUUAAUCUCAGCACUCGGGAGGCAGAGGCAGGCAAAACUCUGUGAGUUCGAGGCCAUCCUGGUCUAAAGAGUGAGUUCUGGGACAGCCAGGGCUACACAGAAAAGCCCUGUCUCAACCAUAGAAAAACAAACAAACCAUCCAGCUGCUCACUAAAGUACUUCCCGUUUCCCCAUCCUCAAUGUCCACGUUAGACCUCCGCUGCUCUCCUUGUUGUAUUUACUAACCUUAUUUCCCUAUAAUCAUUGGCCGAGAAGCAAGGAGCUCCACAGAAGGUGCUAGGUGCUAGCUGCUAGCUGCUAGCUGUUGACUCCCCAGGCAGUCCUGACUGCCACACUUACAUCUUUCCUCACCAUCUCCACAAACACUGUGAAUCUGCACAACAACAACAACAACAACAACAACAAAAGACGAGCCAAGACCUAAUAUGAAUGUGCAUCUGCUCCCGUCUGACUUUAUAAAUCUUACCCAGUUUAUGCCACCUGGUCAGCCUGUUCCUCCUGGCUAUAAUUCUGCCUGGCUCACAGCAGCUGUUUCUUGGAGGGAAAGGGGGAUAUUAACUAACCUGUGGUAUUAAAAAAAAUUAUAAAAUCUAAUAUAGGGUUGUCAAUUUUGUACUUUGACAAAUAAGAACUUUAAAAAAAAUAGCUACUCUCAUGUUGAUGCUAUUAAAGAAGAGUAAUUUUAUCUCUCCACGUGAAAAGUAUCAUCUCAGAAUGAUGGCCACUUGUUUAACUGCAGCACAGUUAGCGUUGGAAAACUGACUCUGUUUCCAGGAGCGUGUGGCUGUCUCAGGUAAUGAAAAGUGCUCAGACAGAGGGUGCAUUUGGGAGUUGGCGGCACUUUCUUCUUCCCCUCACCUGCUUACUACUUAAGCACUAGAGCCCGGGGGGUACAUUUUGCACUGUCAAGUCUUUAUUUAACUUCUUGUGCACACAUGUCGUUUCCUCAACUACAAGGUAAGCUUUAUAAGAAGCCGGUAAAAGGACUGCGCCUUUUACUCUCCUGGGAGGCCCAGCAGAUAGAAAAUGUUCCACAAGUAUUUGCUGAAUGAGUGAAUCAGCCCAGAGGAGGCUUUCUAAGCCUGUGGUAACCCAUAAAUCCCAUCUUAAUGGAGUAUGAGCGCCCAUCCCGGGGCGAUUUCUUUCAACAGAUUCCUCCGAAAAGAGUUAACCGGUACAAAUUGCUUUGCUUUUGAGUGAAACCAGAAAAAAAAAUUAAUAAUAAUAGUAAAUCCCAUAUGAAAAGUACACAGCUUCUUCCCCGAGGCAGUUACAAGCCUCAGCAGAGAGAGCAGAGAGACAAAUGCACCUUUUGUAGCUUGUCAUUUAGCUGAUCCCAGGUAUUUAGGGCUCUGUUGCUAGUCAUGUGCACAGUAUGUGCGCGCCUCUGGCUUAACUCGCUUGAUAGAAAACUUGGCUUUCCUUCUGAGACUCCCACCCAUGCACCUCUACAGUAUCCAUCUGUCUGCUUCCCUCCAUCUGUGGGAUUUACAAAAAUGAAGGGGGGGGGGGAAGGAAGGUGGGGGGGGGAAGGAAGGGAAGGUGGGGAAGGGAAGGUGGGGGCUGCCAGGCACAGCUUCUUUGCGGCCAAAUCUUGGUCUUGAAUCUGGAGUGGUUACAAGGCUGCACUGAAGAGUGUCUUUUGGAUUUAAAACCUACUGCUUUCACUCAGCAUCCAGAGUAAGCUCCCGAAAAUAUAGAUUAGGUGACACCACAUGGUGUGUAUAACAUCCGUUAACUUUCAUACAAUCUCACUUUAUCGCUGUUGAUUGAAAACCUACUGAGUGCUGGACCCUGCUGAUCCAAAAAAUUUUUUUUCUUUCUUUCUCUCUCUCUUUCUUUCUUUCUUUCUUUCUUUCUUUCUUUCUUUCUUUCUUUCUUUCUUGAAUGACUUAGGCACUAGAACAACUCAAAGGAAUAUAAUAAAGUACAAAUUAUUACUAUAAUAGAAGGCAACAGGUGUGAUGGAAAACAGUUGGACAAAGGAGAUGUAGCAAACAGUCUGGUUGGAAUGCACCGGUUAAGCCUCCCUAGAGCUCAGACUCAGAGGAGGUGGAGAGCGAGCCAUCGAGCCUAGGAGGCUAAGUGGAGAAGGAAGUCUCUUGGGGCCACAGGAGUUCAGCUAUGUCCUUUGUCUGCUUUCACAUGCAUGCCCUCCCUCCUGCUCCCCAGCUAGCCCUGCCGUCCCUUUCCCACCUUGAAACUUCACACAAACCACCAGCAGCUCAGUAGCCCCCUUUUCCUGGCUUUGACGAACAGCAUUCAUCUAUCUCUUGGGUGACCAUAUAAACGUCACCUCUUUGGGUGGGCUCUCUUUGUCCCCUAUUGUGACUUAGAAAGCCUCCCACAGUUAUUUUUGUCACCCUCCCUUCCGACACUCAAUAAACACUGUUUGAAUGAUGGAACCUAGAGGUUCAAGUAGGAUGCUCUUUUUGAAGACAGCAUCCUCGUGAAUGCUCUGAGACUGAACGCAGUGCUGGGGGUUUGCACGUGAAUUGUCCUCCUCAGGUGCACAAGUUUGAACACUUUGGCUUUAGCUGGGAAAGACUUAAGUCCAGCUUAGUUGGAAGAAGUGGGCCACUGGGAACUGGCCUUGAGAUGUCUUAGCCUGGCCCGCUCUUGUCCUUUCUCCUUCCCAACCGCAGGCUCAGUGUGACCUGUCACCUCAUGCAUGGGCCACCAAGCCUUCCCUCAACUUCAAGCCCAAGCAAUCUUUCCUAUCUUUACCUUGUCAGGCAAGGCAACAAGGAAAAUGACACAGGGGUGGAUGGAAAAACCAAGUAAUAGUUUGAGUUUAAGUACAGUAAUCUUGAUAUACAAGAUUAAAGGUAGGCUAUAAAGCAGCGGCCCUCAAAUUCCCUAAUGCUACGACCCUUUAAUACAGUUUCUCAUGUUGUAACAACCCCAACCAUAUUUUUGUUGCUGCUUCAUAAUUGUGAUUUUGCUACUGUUAUUAAGCAUAAUGUAAAUAUCUGAUAUGCAAGAUAUCCGAUAUGCAACCCCAAAGGGGUCGCCACCCACAAGUUGAGAACCUCUGCUGUAAAGCAUUAAACUGUGUUGUGGUGAACAUAUUUUUCUCUCUGCUUCAGCUUUUCUUCAGAACAGAACCAUUCCUCUGAGUGAAGCAAGCUUCGGGUCAUCCCUUAGCCCAGAUGCGUCCUUGCCCGUCCAACUUCAUGGGAAUCCCGGCUUCCUCUGCAGGAAAACCCUCUCUGACAUGACGACAAUGCUGCAGUCUUCUUUUAUCUUAGAACAGCAUGCCUUUCUACUUAU